rnacentral:rRNA from 1 species
UACGUAGGUGGCGAGCGUUGUCCGGAAUUACUGGGUGUAAAGGGCGUGUAGGCGGGGAUGCAAGUCAGAUGUGAAAUUCCAAGGCUCAACCUUGGCGGUGCAUCUGAAACUGUGUCUCUUGAGUGCUGGAGAGGAAAGUGGAAUUCCUAGUGUAGCGGUGAAAUGCGUAGAGAUUAGGAGGAACACCAGUGGCGAAGGCGACUUUCUGGACAGUAACUGACGCUGAGGCGCGAAAGCGUGGGGAGCAAACAGG